GGUACCAUUGACUAAAGCUAGUACUAUAGGCUUGCCUCUAGCUUUGGUGGAUGGUCUUU
rnacentral:pre_miRNA from 1 species